rnacentral:hammerhead_ribozyme from 1 species
GCACUGCUGAGGAGUCCCAUAAUAGGACGAAACAGUCAUCCAGUGC